rnacentral:rRNA from 1 species
AUACGGAGGGUGCAAGCGUUGUCCGGAUUUAUUGGGUUUGAAGGGUGCGUAGGCGGAUAAUUAAGUCAGUGGUGAAAGACUGCAGCUCAACUGUAGAGGUGCCAUUGAUACUGAUUAUCUUGAGUACAGUUGAGGUAGGCGGAAUUUAUGGUGUAGCGGUGAAAUGCAUAGAUACCAUAAAGAACACCGAUAGCGAAGGCAGCUUACUGGACUGUAACUGACGCUGAGGCACGAAAGCGUGGGGAGCGAACGGGAUUAGAAACCCUAGUAGUCC